rnacentral:rRNA from 1 species
CCUACGGGUGGCAGCAGUGAGGAAUAUUGGUCAAUGGGCGAGAGCCUGAACCAGCCAAGUCGCGUGAAGGAUGACGGCCCUACGGGUUGUAAACUUCUUUUGUCAGGGAGCAAUUGGGUCCACGCGUGGGCUUUGCGAGAGUACCUGAAGAAAAAGCUUCGGCAAACGCCGUGCCAGCAGCGGCGGUAAAACGGAGGAUGCGAGCGUAAUCCGGAUUUUUUGGGUUUAAGGGUUGCGUAGGCGGAAUAUCAAGUCAGCGGUAAAAAUUCGGGGCUCAACCCCGUCGUGCCGUUGAAACUGAUGUUCUUGAGUGGGCGAGAAGUAUGCGGAAUGCGUGGUGUAGCGGUGAAAUGCAUAGAUAUCACGCAGAACUCCGAUUGCGAAGGCAGCAUACCGGCGCCCAACUGACGCUGAAGCACGAAAGCGUGGGUAUCGAACAGGAUUAGAUACCCGGGUAGUC